AGAUUUUAAAAGAUUUUAUUUAAAAAUAUUAUUUUUUAGAAAAAGGUUCCAACUCUGAUCGUUUGUGUGGAUAUUCUUCUUCAGAUAACAGAUGCGCUUAUCUUCAUACAUUCUCGUGGAUAUAUUCAUUGCGCGCUCAGCAGCCAUGCCGUGCAGUUGGUCAGCCCAUUCCUAGCCAAACUUGCGCGCUUCGAAUAUGCUUCCAGAGAAGGAAGUGGUGACCCUGCUCUAAGUUUAUCCUCUCUGGAAAGUACAAACUUCUAUUCUUGGCUGAGCCCUGAUGUUCUAUCAGGAACCCAACCUUCAACACAGUCGGAUAUAUACAGCUUCUGUACAAUCAUCUGGGAAUU